UACGUAGGGUGCGAGCGUUGUCCGGAAUUAUUGGGCGUAAAGAGCUCGUAGGCGGUCUGUCGCGUCGAUCGUGAAAACUUGGGGCUUAACCCUGAGCUUGCGGUCGAUACGGGCAUGACUGGAGUUCGGCAGGGGAGACUGGAAUUCCUGGUGUAGCGGUGAAAUGCGCAGAUAUCGGGAAGAACACCCGUGGCGAAGGCGGCUCUCUGGGACGGUACUGACGCUGAGACGCGAAAGCGUGGGGAGCGAACAGG
rnacentral:rRNA from 1 species